UGCUGACAUAAAUGUAUUUGUUCACAUAAACCUUGGGCUUGGGCCCAGCAAAAGCAUGUAAAUAUAUUUGUCGCUCGCUUUCCCUCAUCACCAACUGUACGAGCUGCCGGUGUUUGGCUUUAAGCUUAUUUUCUGGUCUUAUUUGCUUGGAAUCUUCUGGUUUUUUGUUUUGAUAAUGGAGGUAUUUGGUCACACUAAACUGGAAGCUUCUAUGAAAGAUGUAUUGGCUGAAUCCAUAUAUCCUCUUGAUUCCCGCAUCCUCCUCGUCCCUCUUAACCAAGAGGCGGAGGAACAUAACCAUUGGCUCAAAUUUCUAGACCUUUCUAGGUGGAUGCGCGCGGGUUUGCCUGCGUUUUAUAAUUCUUAUGGACUACAAUUAUAUACUCGAGAAUUUGCAAUCGAGCUCGAUCAUCCUUUCGUACCUGUUGUGAGUGAUUUUGCUGUAGCUGCUUUCAACGAGCUGUGCAGGAUGUAUGUAAAGAAGGGUGUUGAGGACAAUAUCUAUGAAGCCGAAGUGACAAAUGUCAAUUACACCAUCAACGUUUAUGGAUAUAAAUUUAUAAUAACAUUAGAGGCCUUGGAAGAAGAUGCCGUUGGUGUUUAUGAAGCGACCGUCCUAUGUCAUUGUAGUGAUGGCCGAAGAACACUCUUAAAAUUCAUUCGCUUGCCCUGUCCACCUGUUGGUAGGAAAUUUAAAGGGAUGACUGAGCUGGUCCGUGAGAAAUCCAUGUGUCAAGCUGGAAAGAGCAAAAGAAGGCCAUUAAAACUGAACUGAAAAUAAGAUGCAAUGCUAUGAUCUAUUGUUGUUCAUUCGUAUAGUUAUAAUUUUCUUUCUUACACGCAUUCUUUAUAUUGUUUAUCACAAUUCUUGACUGGCUCCUGGUGGUUGGGUGUGCAGACCGGAAGAAAGCAAUUAAGUCUGAACUAAAAAUAAGACGGAAAGCUAUGAAAGGUAAGAAGAGAUUCAGUGAAUCAUCUGAGUUAAUUCGCUUGAAGAAACAUUAUAAUAUCGUGAAAGGUGCCUGCCGCACCUUUGCUCAAUACACUCAUAUCUUGCCCAUGGACUGGAAGAUCAAAAGGAGCAAUCCAGAUGAUUGGUUUGUUCCUAACAAGAAUACUGGCUUGCAACCAAGAAGUCCUCAACACUCUUGUGGGGGCUAUGAUUACCAUAAUCCGUUGACAGUGUUCUCGCUCUAUACAAAAAAGAGAGGUGAUUAACUCAAGUGACGUUUUAUUCUUCUAUGACAAUUGAUGCAAUAUAGAGUUUAAACAAGUAUAUGAUACAUAAUUGUCAGGCCGGAUUGAAAAAAAAAACUGAUGUAACAUAAUGAUGAUUUGUACAUGCAUUUUAAGCGAGUCGAUUGUCACUUCUAUUUGAUUCAUGGGUAGCCUGAAACCCUGACAGGUUUUGAAUAUUACUAUUAUGACAAUGGAUGGUUGUCUUAACCUUCAGGCUUAAA